ensembl:lncRNA RNF32-DT RNF32 divergent transcript
UGGUCGUUCCCGUUCCAGGGUCUCGAGCGCACCGCCCCUUCGCUGCGCUGUUAGUCGAGGGCAGUUUUCUGGGGGAUCCCCCGAUCCCCCCGCGCCGCUCAGGCGUCUUGGCUCGCGGAAGCGCAGGCGCCGACUGCCUGGCGUCGUCCGUGACUCCUGGCCCUUCUCUGUGGAUCCCUUUGCUUCUCGUUGCGGGUUGUGUUUCCUGCUUCGUGGGCCUGGCCGUUUGCGUUUGGAUGCAGGCCCGGGUGAGCCCUGCGUGGCCCGCUGGCCUUUUCCUGCUCCCUAGGUGACUGAGCCGCGUGUGUGACACAUCGGAGUGAAUUGAGGCAACGCGUUCCUUUCCAGGCUUGCAGCGGGCGGUGUCGUUCACGCUCCUGAGCAGAGCCUUCCGGUGCUUUACUCGACGCCACAAAUAGUGCAGGGUUCCUCCCAGGGGCUGUCGCGAGCUAGAACUCUUCCCCGCCCCUGUGAGCUCGGGCUGUUCUUCCUCCUCCGCGUGGCUCACUCCAGCCUCGGAUGUUUCCUCGCUGCACAGACCUGCUCGGGAAGACUCGAGAAGGCCACCCCAGGACUCCAGCUCUCCCCGGAAGGGCUUCCCCUCGGAUUGCGUCUUGGCCCCUGGAACCCUCCCUCUGUAUCCUCUGCUGUUCCUCUCUUGGCCUCCAUUUGGGUUGUGGCCUGGAUACUCUGGCUCGCUGCUUCCCUUCUCUUAAGGAUCACAGCCCUGCACUGCCUGUCGUCCGGUGCCUGGAAACCAUUGUAUUUUUUGGUCUGAUUUUGUAGUUGUUUGAGAACUUAAGUCUGGUCCCUCACACUCCAUGCCCAGAAGCAGAAAUGAGUAAAGUUUGUUUUAUCUUUUCUUAAUAUGACAAUUAUUGUGUUGGUUCAACUUAUGUUGUACUUUAAUUAGAAGAAAUUUGGCCGAAAAUACAAGGAAAAUAUACAAAUGCAAGUAAUUUUUUUUAAACUUCCCUGAAAGCAGGGUCUAAAGAAAUUACCAACCAACUUAGACUGGAUCUAGAAGAAAAGGAAGGGUCUUUGCAGUCUUAGGACUCUUCCGUUCCGCGACGUAGGUGUUAGGAUAACAGCCAUAAAUGGUUGUAAGACUUUGGGCUCAGAUAAGUAGACUUAAGUUCAAAUUUUGACUUAUUUUACAAGUGUGUGAUUUUUGGCAAGCUCAUCUUCCUAAACCAUGAGCUCCUUAUUUGUAAAGGGGACAUUAGCCACUCUCCAGCAACAGCCCUGGUACUUCUUCAGUCCUGGGAUGGGACGUAUGAUUAGCCUAAGCGAACCAGAAAAUCCAGGCCCGUGACCAGUGACUUGAUCAGGGCUGGCGAUAUAUCUAGGUGACCAGCAUCAUGUCCCACCGGGUCCCCUGCAGUCCCAGUGCACCUGCCUGCUCAUCCAGGGACCUGUCCUCACUGCCUGCUGCCUGCACUGUGUGGAAGGACAGAGGCUAAACGACGAAGCCUCGAGCUCUGGUCUCAUGGAAAUGGCAGCCUGCCCACCACCCACGCUUGCCCAGCCUUUCUUCACGCAAGAUUUGUGCCCUUGGCUCUGGACGAUAUGAAGAUGAAUAAGAAAGAAAUGGCCCUCACCCCCAUGGGACUUAGAUUACAGUGGAGGAGACAGACUUUACUUACAAAACUGUACGAACCAUUUUUAAUUAAGAUGGAAUAAAUACCAGGAAGGAAAAUACUGUUUGCAAAAUUUAACAGUACGGAGUGACUUCCCACAGAGGAGGUCGGCAGAAUUUAUUGAUUUAUCCAGAAUGAGCUCUGAGGACGCGUUUGCUUAUGUAGCAGGUGUAAUUUUCAAAUUCACCUCAGCCUGACUCACGUUGUCACCAGAGGAUACAGAAGUUUUCCUAUUAACUCUUUCCAAAGAACCUGUUGAUGGUCUUCAGAUUCCUGGAGGCAUUUAGGGAGGGAGCAAGUUUGGGAGAGGAGUGAAUUCACCUGGGCUGCAGCCCACUGCUGAGGACAGACCCUCCAGGGAUACAGGUGUCAAGUCCAUCAAUGGGCUCUGACCCACUGGAGAAAGGGCAGCAUCAACCAUUGGCCAGGCUGCGGGACCAAAGCUGACUUAUGAUGGUGUCAUCGGGGAAGAAUAUUUCUCAGCCCUCCGUUCUCAAGACAGAUGAGUGCUUUAGAAAGAGGACUCUGCAGCGGUGAGGAGGAUGGAAUGACAGGCAAAGCACGCAGGACCAGGAGAUGGCUUCGUUCCCUCAAUCACUCAUCCAAAGACGUUUAAUGAGCACCUAUUGUGUGUCAGGCAUUGUACCGGGCAAUGGGGAUAUCGUAGUCAGUAAUAAGUGAGGAGAGAUGAGUUCAUUUGUGAGAGGCUCUGACCAGUGGAAUCAGAGGAAGGGAGUUCCCCUGGGUGGGCCAGGUUCAAAGACAUUUUGGAAGUAGAAUCUGCAGAACAUGAUGAUCUUUUGGAAACAGGGCAGGGACGUGAAUGAGCACGUAAUGUCCCCAUGGGUUUGUCUUUCCGAAGGUUUAAAAUCCUCAAGAAUAAGGAACAUAGGCAUGUGUCGUAACGGUCUCCACAGUGGGGGAGUAUUAUGUUAGUGCACCUGCAUGUUAACUCUGCUCAUGAAGGGGCCACGUCUUCACCACCACAAAGCCUCAAGCAUGCAUAUCUGGUCCCUCCAACCCCCUCCCUAUUGAGGUGCAAUAAAGGCCCAUGUUUCUCCUAGUAUGGGAACAGAACUAAGUCCUUUGUUCUAUUAUUUGACAUGUAUUGACUCAAGCAUUCGAUGAGUAUUGAUGAAGUGUGUUCUAAGCUUGUACCGGGCUAGGUCUUCUACUGCAAUCCCCACGCUUAUAAACCUUGCCAACCUGAGCCACCUGCAAGCUUUCUGACCUUGGGCGUCCUCAUCUCUUCACCUCCACUGGUAAAGAUGAGCUAACUGGUAAAGAUGAGCUAUGGAAAGAACGUGGAGUAGUCCUCGGCACAUAGUAGGAAUUUAGUGAAUAUCAGUUCUCUUCAUUCACAAGCACUUAAUAGGCCAGGUACUGGAACAAAAGACAAAUCAGAUGGAAAGAGGCUCAUACUGCAUCCCGGCCUGGCAGAAUGAGAGCGGCUCCUGGAACCGGGAUUCCACGUCAGCUUUCAGCUUUUUUUCUGCUUUUUCCUUCUUCUCAGGCCUUUCAGGAUUUGGUUCUUGUUUUAAAGCUUCUGACGGAGAGAGCCAAGUAGCCUGUCCUUGCUCUACGGGCUGGGAAGCAAUGAGUGAUUGCUGAAGAGGCUUUUUCUCAGCAAAGGGCAGAGGCAAAGGAGAGAAGAAAGGAAGGGCCCUGUGCUGUGAAGCAAUUUUCUCAUUUUCUGCUGCUGGUGCUUGCGUUGUUGUCUUCCUCAACAUGCAGGGGAGGCCCAGAGAGGCACUGCUACGGGUUCCAGACAUUCCUUGUAUUCUCACUGCCUGGCUCUGUCCUCAACCACUUACUUUCGGUGUUAGCGGUGAGUCUCAAAGGAACAUUGUGCUGAACUGUUCUCCAUCUCAACUACAUGAUCCUGCAGCCCUCAGGAUGAAGGGUUUCGGUCUUUGAUUCCGGCGACCUGGAGGCUUGCUUACUGUCAACUCCAUGCGGAGAACUGUAGAAAACAGGAUAAAGACGAAGACUAGGCCGAGCCGUCCAAGGCAGUGAGUCCACAGUAAGUGGGGCGAGUUAGGCCGUUUCCGC